rnacentral:rRNA from 1 species
UGGGCGUAAAGGGCACGCAGGCGGUGACUUAAGUGAGGUGUGAAAGCCCCGGGCUUAACCUGGGAAUUGCAUUUCAUACUGGGUCGCUAGAGUACUUUAGGGAGGGGUAGAAUUCCACGUGUAGCGGUGAAAUGCGUAGAGAUGUGGAGGAAUACCGAAGGCGAAGGCAGCCCCUUGGGAAUGUACUGACGCUCAUGUGCGAAAGCGUGGGGAGCAAACAGGAUUAGAUACCCUGGUAGUCCACGCUGUAAACGAUGUCGAUUUGGGGGUUGAGCUUUGAGCUUGGCGCCCGUAGCUAACGUGAUAAAUCGACCGCCUGGGGAGUACGGCCGCAAGGUUAAAACUCAAAUGAAUUGACGGGGGCCCGCACAAGCGGUGGAGCAUGUGGUUUAAUUCGAUGCAACGCGAAGAACCUUACCUACUCUUGACAUCCAGAGAACUUUCCAGAGAUGGAUUGGUGCCUUCGGGAACUCUGAGACAGGUGCUGCAUGGCUGUCGUCAGCUCGUGUCGUGAGAAG